CUUGAAACUAAUCGAACCCGU
rnacentral:sRNA from 1 species